rnacentral:rRNA from 1 species
GACGAACGCUGGCGGCGCGCUUAACACAUGCAAGUCGAACGGAAAGGCCUGCUUUCCCUUGUGGAUUGCGGGUACUCGAGUGGCGAACGGGUGAGUAACACGUGAGUGAUCUGCCCCCAACUUGGGUAUAAGCCUGGGAAACUGGGUCUAAUUCCCGAUAGGACUGCAGGGUGGUGCCUGUGGUGGAAAACGAUUUUCUAGUGGUUGGGGAUGAGCUCGCGGCCUAUCAGCUUGUUGGUGGGGUAAUGGCCUACCAAGGCGGCGACGGGUAGCCGGCCUGAGAGGGUGGACGGCCACAUUGGGACUGAGAUACGGCCCAGACUCCUACGGGAGGCAGCAGUGGGGAAUAUUGCACAAUGGGCGGAAGCCUGAGGCAGCGACGCCGCGUGGGGGAUGACGGCCUUCGGGUGGUAAACUCCUUUCGACCGCGAGGAAGCCACCUGGUUGGAAGGGUGGUGACGGUAGUGGUAGAAGAAGCACCGGCUAACUACGUG